rnacentral:rRNA from 1 species
ACGAACGCUGGCGGUGUGCUUCACCCAUGCCAGUCGAACGGUAAGGCCCUUUCGGGGGUACCCGAGUGGCGAACGGGUGAGUAACACGUGAGUAACCUGCCCUCAUCUCUGGGAUAACAGUCGGAAACGGUUGCUAAUACUGGAUAUGAGCUUGCAAGGCAUCUUGUGGGUUGGAAAGAUUUUUUUGGUUGGGGAUGGACUCGCGGCCUAUCAGCUUGUUGGUGAGGUAGUGGCUCACCAAGGCUUCGACGGGUAGCCGGCCUGAGAGGGCGACCGGCCACAUUGGGACUGAGAUACGGCCCAAACUCCUACGGGAGGCAGCAGGGGGGAAUAUUGCACAAUGGACGGAAGUCUGAUGCAGCAACGCCGCGUGCGGGAUGACGGCCUUCGGGUUGUAAACCGCUUUCAAUUGUGACGAAGCUUUUUGUGACGGUAGCAGUAGAAGAAGCACCGGCUAACUACGUG